UCUUCUUCUUCUUCUUCUUCUUCAUGCCAAUCCAUAUCCAUUCCAAGAAAAUGAUUCUUGCCCACUAAACUUCCCCUCUUUUUCUCGAUAAAUUCCAUCCCAAAACUGCUUCUAAGUUAAGGUGUAUGCCCAAGAAAUUCACUGUUUCUGCUUCCCUUAACACCAUAGCUGCUGCUGCCUCUGGCUUUGGUGCCACUGUCCAUGGGACAGUCACUUCUGCUAUUACCCAAGUGGCUGUUAUUGCCUUUGCUAUUACCUCUGGAGCUUGUCUCUCCGCUAAGGUUGACUUUUUAUGGUCCAAAGUGGAGGAGCAACAAGGUUCUUUUACAGCGGAAGGAAUAGAUGUGACUGGCUAUCCUAUAUUUAACGAGGCAAAGGUGCAAAAAGCUAUUGCAUUUGCAAAAAGAGCUCACAGUAGGCAGUUGAGGAAAACAGGAGAGCCGUAUUUAUCACAUUGCAUUCACACGGGAAGAAUCUUAGCUAUGUUGGUUCCAUCAAGUGGCCUACGUUCAUGAAACUGCUAUUGACACAGUUGUGGCUGGGAUACUACAUGAUGUGGUUGAUGAUAUAUGUGAAAGUUUUCUCAGCAUAGAAGCAGAGUUUGGUGAUGAGGUGGUCAGGCAAAUAAUCUGUGAGUCAUGCUCUUGGGAAUGGUUGAUGAUCCCCGUGUGGUGCUUAUCAAGCUGGCAGACUAUCUUCACAAUAUGAGAACCAUGUAAUGCCUCUCAAAAUUUAUUUAUUAGAUUAUUAUAUAUGCAGAAAACAGAUUUCUGUUUGUUUUUCUAUUUCAUAAUUCAUUGGAUAGACAACCAAGGCUUGGCCUAGCUGUUAUGAUCCCUCCAUAAGAGGAUCAAGGUCCAAGGUUUGGAUUCACUAUCCCCCUUGGACUUCCUUGUAUAUAUCACAUAGCUAAUUCAUUGAAAUGGAAAAAAUUAUUAAUCCAUUUAUUGUAUCUUUUAAAUUCUAAAUUU